AAGGGUACAACCAAAUCAUACUCUCCUCAGUGACUACUCCGCAUCUCCCACCUUGUUAACAAUAGCCAAUUUCGUACACAUACGAUGCAUUGCAAAGAAAGGAGAAUAUGAAUUUCACUUCAGGAUGCAGCUUCCUUGGUCCCUGUUUUUUGCACAUGAUCAGUUGAUCUCCUUUGAUGUAUCUUGGGGUGGCCGUCCUGGCAGCAGCUACCAGACAAGCCCUCAGAGACCCGGCUUCCUCAGAUGACCCUGGACUUCCAGCACUUCAUCUCCUCUCUUGUCUUCCACCCCAGGUGAAGACAAGUUCCCAGGGUGAAAUGAAUCUUAAGGCUGUUCCCUGGUCUGAAGAAAAUCUCCGCGUGACUGCUUUCCAUCACCUUUGUGAGAGGCCUCCAUGGGCUUGUGUGGAGACAGCGGCAUUUUGAUGAUUAAUACAGACCAAGGUCAGUGUACACAGUGGUUGUCUGGCAUUGGCCCACUUCAUCAGAUAGUUCCUUUAUGGGGCUGAUUGGAAAAAUUGGUUGUUGAUUAACUCAGGGAAGCUUUUAACAAGGCUGAACUCAGGAAUGAAGAGAAGGAAGGCCUCUGCUAAAGAUGAUACCUAGCGUGGCUUCCUUUCAUUUUAUUUUUUAACUCAUUUGGCUCUUUAAAAACAUGUGACAAAACUCAUAUAACAUAAAAUCUAUGGGGAUCCCUCGGUGGCGCAACAGUUUGGCGCCUGCCUUUGGCCCAGGGCGCGAUCCUGGAGACCCGGGAUCGAAUCCCACAUCGGGCUCCCGGUGCAUGGAGCCUGCUUCUCCCUCUGCCUGUGUCUCUGCCUCUCUCUCUCUCUCUCUCUCUCUCUGUGACUAUCAUAAAAAAACAAAAAACAAACAAAAAAAAAAAACAACAACAACAUAAAAUCUACCAUUAGAGACCCUUAGCAAAUUCACAACGUGGUACAACUAUCACACUAAUUCUAAAACAUUCUCAACCCCCCAAAAGGAAACCGUGUAUUCUUUAGCAGCUGCUCCUCACUUCCCUGUCCCCUCCAUCCCUGUUAACCACUGAUCUGUGUUCUGUCCAGGAAUUUGCCUACUUGGGAUAUUUCAUAGAGGUGACAUCAGACAAUAGGUGGCCUUUUGUGGCUUCUUCCACUUAGCAUGAUGUUUUCAGGCCUCAUCUGUGUUGCUACAUGUAUUGGUGCCUCCUUUCUUUUCAUGGCUGAAUAAUAUUCAUUGGGUGGAUGACCACGUGAAAAAAAUCCAUUUAUUGGUUGAUGGCCUUUCUUGAAUAUUGCUGCAAACCUUGGAUCAAAGGCACCCCCCAGCGUGGGACUUUUUUUUUUUUUUUUUAGAUUUUAUUUAUUUAUUCACGAGAGACACAGAAAGAGGCAAGAGACACAGGCAGAGGGAGAAGCAGGCUCCCUGCAAGGAGCCUGAUGCAGGACUCGAUCCCCGGAUCCUGGCAUCACAACACGAGCCAAAGGCAAAUAUAAGCAUUGAGCCACCCACGUGCCCACGUGGGACUGUUUUAAACUGUAAAAACCAUGAACCUAUGUCAGUAAUUUUCUUAGGUUGAGAAUUUAGUAGGUCAAAUAAAUUGUUGAAAAAUCAUCA
rnacentral:lncRNA from 12 species